UAGUGUUCUAAAGUAAAUUUGCGGCAGGAAAGAGCGGAGUCGGUCAUGAGCGACUACGAACGCGCGGCAAUGAACGUUGCAAGGGAGAUUUUCCCGAAUUCACGUUUGACUGGCUGUUAGUUCCACUACAAUCAGGUCGUACUCCGACGGUGGAAGUCGUUAGGUUUGAUACCAGCUCCAAGAAAGAUCCUUGGCCUUGCCAUGGCCUUACCGUUGGCUUCGGCUAACAUGUUUUUAGGCAAAGCUUAGAAAUCAUACAGGAAGAAGCCGAUGUAAUAUCAUCAGAGUACCCUGCUGUAUUACAUUUUACAGUUUAUCUACGACGAACCUGACUUCCGUUAAAAGAUAAAGUUUCUGUUUAUGGUACAUUCAUACGACAAACAAUUUAGCGAAAAGCUUCCAUUUUGUGAUGUUCCGGAAACUUGGUGGAAUACAUCCAAACAUUUGGAAUUUCCUUC
rnacentral:lncRNA from 13 species